GCCUUGCUCAGUGGGUUAACGAUCCAGCAUUGCUGUGAGCUGUGGUGUGGGUCACAGAUGUGGCUCGGAUCCCACGUUGCUGUGGCUCUGGCAUAGACCGGUGGCUACAGCUCCGAUUGGACCCCUAGCCUGGGAACCUCCAUGCCACAGGAGUGGAUCAAGAAAAAGGUAAAAAAAAAAAAGGCAAUGAACCCUAGAUUUAUUGACUUUGAUAUAAACUGGUUUAACCAAUGGAUCUGGUAGUCUUUCUAAAUACCCAGCCAGCUAGCUGAAAUUAGCCACCCACAACUACUCCCCAGCCCCUGGGGUGCACUGAACUGUGUUCCCAAAAGAGCUGUGUGUCUUAACUCCCAGUUACUGUGAAUAGGAACUUAUAUGGAAAUUGAGUCUUUGCAGAUGUAUGAAAUUAGGAUGAAGUCACCCUGGAUUAAGACGAACCGAGUGAUUGAUGUUCUUAAGAGGAAAGAAAUAUUUAGAGACACAAGGACACAUAAGAAAUAACACCAUGUAAUGCCAGAGACAGAGACUAGAGUUAGAAAGCCACAAACCAAGGAACAUCAGGAUUGCUGGAAACCAGCAGAAGCUAGAAGAGGCCAGGGUUGAUUCUUCCUGGAGUUUUGGAGGAAACUUGGCCCUGCCAACACUUUGAUUAUGGCUUUCCAACUUCUAGAUUAUGAGGGAGUACAUUUCUCUUGUUUUAAGCCCCUCAGUUCAUGGUAAUUUGUUAUGGCAGCCUUAUGAAAUUAACACAUUCCUCAUAGAUUUAAUUUGGAUUUGGGUAAGGAGAGGACUGAAUCCUCGCUGCACCUGUGACCUACACUGCAGCUGUGGCAGCGCCGGAUCCUUUAACCCACUCAGCUGGGCCAGGGAUCAAACCUGCACCCCUGCAGCAACCUGAGCCCCUUCAGUUGGAUCUUGAUACACUGUACCACAGUGGGAAUUCCUAGUGUUUUACUUAUAUGUAAAAUUUCUGAUACAUAGUUCUUACUUUGCCAUUCCAAUGAAUACAGCUAUGAUAUCAUGCCAUCCUUUGUAAUAGCAUACAUCAUUUUCAAAGAACAAUGAUUUUUUAAAAACAUAAUUACCUAUUUCUAUGUAGAGCUUUAAUACAAGGAAGCCUAUAUCUGCAUAUAAUUAAUAUGAUAAAUCAGCGAAUUUUCACAGUGUUUUUACUGAAAUACUAUUUGAGAUACUAUAUGAUAAAUCAGCGAAGUUUCACAGUGUUUUUACUGAAAGACUAUUUGAUACUAUUCAAAUACCUUUUGAGAUUUUACAUAUACAUAUUCACACACAUGCACUCACACAUACAUGUACUCACAAACACACAUGAUAUCAAAGGAACUGAAAUAACUGUUAAUUACUCAAAUAUAUCUUGACAUAUAUAUACAUUUUUAUCCAUCAUAGGCUAAAAAUAUAAGCAUUCCUGGUAACAAUGACCAAGUAGCAAAGGAGAAUGUGGAAAGAUAAAGACUGUUUCUCAUCUCCUUAAGUCAGGAAGAGAAGCUGAAAUCAUCUUAGUGAAAUGAUUGGAUGUGUAAUAGAAUGUUUGUUUUAUGUUCUUUACUUUUUUGUCUUUGUUCUGUUUUCCUUGAAAAACUAUUCUUGAAAAACUUUCAGUAAAACAAGACACACGCAUAUGCACGAACUGCAAAGAUUCAGUGACGUAUUUAUAAAUUUCCGUAUAUAUUGUGUACAUUUAGAACUUUUCAGAAUUAAGAAUACUCAGGUUAAAAAUCUGAAGUGAUAAUUAAAUGAUUAGAUACAAAAUAUUUAGUUAUGUUUAAGAAGUCAAUUUGGUUCAAUUAUCAGCAAUACUGAGUAGAAACCCUAAUGUUAUUUUUACCACCCUUCCACAUCGAUCCAAGUCCUAAUUCUAAGUUUUAACAAACUGUUAUAAAUCUUUCCCCUCCUUUUAAUUCUACUCCAAUUGCCCUAACCAAGAGCUUCUACAUUUACACUAAGGAAAUUACAGUUUCCAUACCUUCUGUGUUGUCAUCAACAAUAACUUUCUAACGCAUAGGCAUUCAGGUUUAAGUCAAGCCAUUCCACAUUUUAGAACUGCUCAGUAGUUGCUUACUGCCUGGAGGCAAAUGUCUAACCAGGCUGAAGUGGACAGGAAGGUCUUCAACUUUUAACCCCCAUCUUUAUUCCUAGACUCAUCGAUCAUCACUCCUUCCAGUCACGUGGGGCUCUACAUCAUUUUCCAAUAAUUUUAGAUCUUGAGAUAGUCUCAGAGCUCUUGCCCGUAUUUUUGCUUUUGCUUAGAAUCUUCCUUAAAACUUGUGUAACUGUGCUAAUCCUCCCACAACUCCAAUCUUCCCAGCUUUACGAAAUUUCAUCACUAAACCCUCUGUGCUCCCACAGCAUUAUUUCAUAUCACUAUCAAAGUAUUUCCCUUGCUUUCCUUGUAUUAUGAUUCUCAAUAUUCUAUUCCUCCAUCAGAUUCUGAUAUUUUUAGGGCAUUAACUAAAUUAUUUAUGACAUAUUCUUGGAACCCAUAAAAGCACCUUAAACAUAGUUUUUGUUCAGUAUAAAUAUUCAUUUCUAAUUCAAAAUAGGGAGCAGCGUGGAUUGGGAGCUUGGGGUUAAUAGAUGCAAGCUAUUGCCUUUGGAAUGGAUUAGCAAGGAGAUCCUGCUGUGUAGCACUGGGAACUAUGUCUAGUCACUCAUGAUGGAGCAUGAUAAUGUGAGAAAAGAGAAUGUGUAUAUGUAUGUGUAACUGGGCCACCAUGCUAUACAGUAGAAAAAAAAACUGUAUUAGGGAAAUAAUAAUUUUAAAAUAAAUAAAUAAUCAAGAAGAAAAAGAAAUAAUAAUCUCUUUACCACCAUAUAAGAAGUUAAAAAAUGGGAGUUCUGUCAUGGAUCAGCAGAAACAAAUCUGACUAGCAUCCAUGAAGAUGCAGUUAAAUCCCUGGCCUUGCUCAGUGGGUUAAGGAUCCAGUGUGGCCAUGAGCUGUGAUGUAGGUCACAGAUGUGGCUUGGAUCUGGCGUUGCUGUGGAUGCGGUGUAAGCUGGUAGCUACAGCUCCUUUUGGACCCCUAGCCUGGGAACCUCCAUAUGCCAUGGGUGCAGUUCU
rnacentral:lncRNA from 1 species